UUACAGUGAGUCUGAGAAGAGGAGCUAUGAUGCUCUGAAACCAGCUCUUGUUAAAAGAUUUACCCCUGUUCGACUGACAGCAGUACAGACCAGCAGGGGAGACAAUUAAGGUUUGAAUGAGUCAGCUGAUGAAUAUAUAUGCUUAGGAGUUGAGGAAGUUAUUAUAUAAAGCAUAUCCCCCAACCUAUCAUGGGACUCCAGAAGCAGAAUUAUUAGGCAAGAGGAGUGUUCUCUCUAAUCAAUCUGUUGUAGAAGGGAAUUUCGAGGACUUGGUGUGUAAGGCUCGCUUGAAGAGGCAAAGUGGAAGGAGACAAACCUUGGGACAGAAGAGAAACCAAGGGGAAAAGAAGCCUCCAAGGAAGCCUAGUGAUGACUCUGAAGAGAAAUAAAGGGGGCUACAAGUGCCAUCGAUGUAGCAGUACACAACACUUUAUUCGUGACAGUCCAUUCGAAGGAUGGGGAGCAACAAAAGAAGCUAGGUCUUAUUUUGUAAAUGGAGAGACUGAUAUAAUCUGCCCUGCUAACUGUGAUGGCCAGUCAUGACCACGUCCACGGCUGCAGACCGCGGCUGAACUAGAGAAACAGAAGUGGGAGGCCAGAGGAGAGGAGCUCGAU